rnacentral:rRNA from 1 species
AUUGAACGCUGGCGGCAUGCCUUACACAUGCAAGUCGAACGGCAGCACGGGUGCUUGCACCUGGUGGCGAGUGGCGAACGGGUGAGUAAUAUAUCGGAACGUACCUUAUUGUGGGGGAUAACGCAGCGAAAGCUGUGCUAAUACCGCAUAAUCCCUAAGGGGGAAAGCGGGGGACCGUAAGGCCUCGCGCAAUUAGAGCGGCCGAUACCUGAUUAGCUAGUUGGUGAGGUAAAGGCUCACCAAGGCAACGAUCAGUAGCUGGUCUGAGAGGACGAUCAGACACACUGGGACUGAGACACGGCCCAGACUCCUACGGAAGGCAGCAGUGGGGAAUUUUGGACAAUGGGGGAACCCUGAUCCAGCAAUGCCGCGUGAGUGAAGAAGGCCUUCGGGUUGUAAAGCUCUUUUGUCAGGGAAGAAACAGCAGCUCUAACACAGUUUGCGAAUGACGGUACCUGAAGAAUAAGCACCGGCUAACUACGUGCCAGCCGCCGCCGUAA